rnacentral:lncRNA from 1 species
AACGUACAAACAUUAUUACAUUUUGUUAUCGUGUAUUGCGGGAAUAUUCUAGUCUAGCGGAAAGAAUGAUUUUUUUGGAUAUUUUGCAAAUAUUUGAUGUAGAAAAUAUGUCUGCAAGAAGAUUUAGCUUGAUUCACAAAAUUGAUAAAGUUAUAGCACCUGGUAAGGAGCGAUUUCCGCCGCGCGCUCAGCAUUCCGGCUGCGAUUUAGUUAGGUUCGGCUAACGAAUUGCUGAAACGUUGUUUAGGAGAAACACAAAAUAAUAACUAAAGCUUUUUAAAUGUACUGAUUUGGAUUUUUGCUCCAAAACAUCUUCAUUCUGGGGCAAAGAUUGAAGUGGCAACUUUUCUGCAUGCGGAGAUGUACGCAAAUUUUCGGAAGAAAACUCGCACGAAACAGCGUUCAACUGAUUUCCUUAAAGAUGAGAGACUAAAUCGCAGGGAAGAGAGAACAGCGCAGUAAGACUUUUAUAUGCAGGAGGAAGGUUCCCUGCAUGGCCCUACACUAGCUGAUUGAUCAUUUUAGAAGCAGAAUAGCCAGAAUCAUAAGAGCCAUGAAUGCCAGAACAGUCAUCAUUAGAAUAAAUUUUUUUUAUUACCUUAUUCAAUUUUGUGUAUUACAUUUAUUUAUAAUUAUUUUUUAGUAAAAAAAUUUGGAAAUAUACUUCAAGUACAUAUAAGUUUUUUGGAUGCGGUGAGAAAAAUCACAUCCCAAAAAAUUUACAUCCCAAAAAACUUACUUAAAAAAAUUUGAAAAAAUAACAUAAAAAUUCAGCUUCUAGACUAGAACACUCUCUUAAUACCCCCUUGUGUGAACAUAACAACGCAAAAUAGAAGACAAAUAAUGAACUAAAUAAAUAAAAA